rnacentral:ncRNA from 1 species
CUAAAGCCAUUGAGGAAAAAAGUAGCCAGUUUCCCAUACAAACAGAGAAGGAUUGCCAAUAGGCUGAAAGCAAUCCCUUGUAAUGGUCUGGUGAAAGACAUUUCUUAGGUGCCAUAUCGAAGGUUAGUAGGUGUGGACGUAAACAGGCGUUAACUGUUUUUGAGUGGAAGCUUUGCUUCAAUCAGGGUGGCAACGCGGGAGAGUUCCCGUCCCUUUU